GAUGAACGCUGGCGGCGUGCCUAAUACAUGCAAGUAGAACGCUGAAGGAGGAGCUUGCUCUUCUGGAUGAGUUGCGAACGGGUGAGUAACGCGUAGGUAACCUGCCUGGUAGCGGGGGAUAACUAUUGGAAACGAUAGCUAAUACCGCAUGACAACAGUUAUUGCAUGAUAACUGUUUAAAAGGGGCAACUGCUCCACUACCAGAUGGACCUGCGUUGUAUUAGCUAGUUGGUGAGGUAACGGCUCACCAAGGCGACGAUACAUAGCCGACCUGAGAGGGUGAUCGGCCACACUGGGACUGAGACACGGCACAGACUCCUACGGGAGGCAGCAGUAGGGAAUCUUCGGCAAUGGACGGAAGUCUGACCGAGCAACGCCGCGUGAGUGAAGAAGGUUGUCGGAUCGUAAAGCUCUGUUGUAAGAGAAGAACGAGUGUGAGAGUGGAAAGUUCACACUGUGACGGUAUCUUACCAGAAAGGGACGGCUAACUACGUG
rnacentral:rRNA from 1 species